rnacentral:rRNA from 1 species
AGAGUGAACGCUGGCGGUAGGCCUAACACAUGCAAGUCGAACGGCAGCACAGUAGGAGCUUGCUCUUACGGGUGGCGAGUGGCGGACGGGUGAGGAAUACAUCGGAAUCUACCUUUUGGUGGGGGAUAACGUAGGGAAACUUACGCUAAUACCGCAUACGCCCUUCGGGGGAAAGCCGGGGACCAGCAAUGGCCUGGUGCUGAUAGAUGAGCCGAUGUCGGAUUAGCUAGUUGGUGAGGUAAUGGCUCACCAAGGCGACGAUCCGUAGCUGGUCUGAGAGGAUGAUCAGUCACACUGGAACUGAAGACACGGUCCAGACUCCGUACGGGAGCAGCAGGUGGGGAAUAUUGGACAAUGGGCGAAAGCCUAGAU